rnacentral:rRNA from 1 species
AUACGUAGGUGGCGAGCGUUGUCCGGAUUUACUGGGUGUAAAGGGCGAGUAGGCGGGUAAACAAGUCAGAUGUGAAAUACCGAGGCUCAACUUCGGGGCUGCAUUUGAAACUGUUUAUCUUGAGUGAUGGAGAGGCAGGCGGAAUUCCCAGUGUAGCGGUAAAAUGCAUAGAGAUUGGGAGGAACACCAGUGGCGAAGGCGGCCUGCUGGACAUCAACUGACGCUGAUGAGCGAAAGUGUGGGGAGCAAACAGGAUUAGAUGCCCUGGGAGUCCACGCCGUAAACGAUGAAUACUAGGUGUUGGGAGACAAUAGUCUCUCGGUGCCGCAGCAAACGCAAUAAGUAUUCCACCUGGGGAGUACGUUCGCAAGAAUGAAACUCAAAUGAAUUGACGGGG